rnacentral:rRNA from 1 species
GACGAACGCUGGCGGCGUGCUUAACACAUGCAAGUCGAGCGGAAAGGCCCUUUCGGGGUACUCGAGCGGCGAACGGGUGAGUAACACGUGAGCAACCUGCCCCGGACUCUGGGAUAACAGUUGGAAACAGCUGCUAAUACCGGAUACGAGCUGCGAAGGCAUCUUCAGCAGCUGGAAAGAACUUCGGUCUGGGAUGGGCUCGCGGCCUAUCAGCUUGUUGGUGAGGUAAUGGCUCACCAAGGCGUCGACGGGUAGCCGGCCUGAGAGGGUGACCGGCCACACUGGGACUGAGACACGGCCCAGACUCCUACGGGAGGCAGCAGUGGGGAAUAUUGCACAAUGGGCGCAAGCCUGAUGCAGCAACGCCGCGUGAGGGACGACGGCCUUCGGGUUGUAAACCUCUUUUAGCAAGGAAGAAGCGAAAGUGACGGUACUUGCAGAAAAAGCGCCGGCUAACUACGUGCCAGCAGCCGCAGUAAAAC